GGGUUGUGAGGUUAAGCGACUAAGCGUACACGGUGGAUGCCCUGGCAGUCAGAGGCGAUGAAGGGCGUGCUAAUCUGCGAUAAGCGCCGGUAAGGUGAUAUGAACCGUUAUAACCGGCGAUACCCGAAUGGGGAAACCCAGUGUGACUCGUCACACUAUCAUUAACUGAAUCCAUAGGUUAAUGAGGCGAACCGGGGGAACUGAAACAUCUAAGUACCCCGAGGAAAAGAAAUCAACCGAGAUUCCCCAGUAGCGGCGAGCGAACGGGGAGGAGCCCAGAGCCUGAAUCAGCAUGUGUGUUAGUGGAAGCGUCUGGAAAGGCGCGCGAUACAGGGUGACAGCCCCGUACACAAAAGCGCAUGUGCUGUGAGCUCGAUGAGUAGGGCGGGACACGUGGUAUCCUGUCUGAAUAUGGGGGGACCAUCCUCCAAGGCUAAAUACUCCUGACUGACCGAUAGUGAACCAGUACCGUGAGGGAAAGGCGAAAAGAACCCCGGCGAGGGGAGUGAAAAAGAACCUGAAACCGUGUACGUACAAGCAGUGGGAGCCCCACCACUAAGCCAGUGGUGAACUCCACAUACGCAUCCUUUGCUGAGGAUACGGUUAACGGAGCGAAAGCGACGUUCAACCUCAAAAGAAGCAGAGGGGCUUAGUGGUGGGGUGACUGCGUACCUUUUGUAUAAUGGGUCAGCGACUUAUAUUCUGUAGCAAGGUUAACCGAAUAGGGGAGCCGGAGGGAAACCGAGUCUUAACCGGGCGUUAAGUUGCAGGGUAUAGACCCGAAACCCGGUGAUCUAGCCAUGGGCAGGUUGAAGGUUGGGUAACACUAACUGGAGGACCGAACCGACUAAUGUUGAAAAAUUAGCGGAUGACCUGUGGCUGGGGGUGAAAGGCCAAUCAAACCGGGAGAUAGCUGGUUCUCCCCGAAAGCUAUUUAGGUAGCGCCUCGUGAAUUCAUCUCCGGGGGUAGAGCACUGUUUCGGCUAGGGGGCCAUCCCGGCUUACCAACCCGAUGCAAACUGCGAAUACCGGAGAAUGUUAUCACGGGAGACACACGGCGGGUGCUAACGUCCGUCGUGAAGAGGGAAACAACCCAGACCGCCAGCUAAGGUCCCAAAGUCAUGGUUAAGUGGGAAACGAUGUGGGAAGGCCCAGACAGCCAGGAUGUUGGCUUAGAAGCAGCCAUCAUUUAAAGAAAGCGUAAUAGCUCACUGGUCGAGUCGGCCUGCGCGGAAGAUGUAACGGGGCUAAACCAUGCACCGAAGCUGCGGCAGCGACACUGUGUGUUGUUGGGUAGGGGAGCGUUCUGUAAGCCUGCGAAGGUGGCCUGUGAGGGUUGCUGGAGGUAUCAGAAGUGCGAAUGCUGACAUAAGUAACGAUAAAGCGGGUGAAAAGCCCGCUCGCCGGAAGACCAAGGGUUCCUGUCCAACGUUAAUCGGGGCAGGGUGAGUCGACCCCUAAGGCGAGGCCGAAAGGCGUAGUCGAUGGGAAACGGGUUAAUAUUCCCGUACUUGGUGUUACUGCGAAGGGGGACGGAGAAGGCUAUGUUGGCCGGGCGACGGUUGUCCCGGUUUAAGCGUGUAGGUGUGUGUUCCAGGUAAAUCCGGUUCACUUUAACACUGAGGCGUGAUGACGAGGCACUACGGUGCUGAAGCAACAAAUGCCCUGCUUCCAGGAAAAGCCUCUAAGCAUCAGGUAACAUCAAAUCGUACCCCAAACCGACACAGGUGGUCAGGUAGAGAAUACCAAGGCGCUUGAGAGAACUCGGGUGAAGGAACUAGGCAAAAUGGUGCCGUAACUUCGGGAGAAGGCACGCUGACACGUAGGUGAAGUGAUUUACUCAUGGAGCUGAAGUCAGUCGAAGAUACCAGCUGGCUGCAACUGUUUAUUAAAAACACAGCACUGUGCAAACACGAAAGUGGACGUAUACGGUGUGACGCCUGCCCGGUGCCGGAAGGUUAAUUGAUGGGGUCAGCGCAAGCGAAGCUCCUGAUCGAAGCCCCGGUAAACGGCGGCCGUAACUAUAACGGUCCUAAGGUAGCGAAAUUCCUUGUCGGGUAAGUUCCGACCUGCACGAAUGGCGUAAUGAUGGCCAGGCUGUCUCCACCCGAGACUCAGUGAAAUUGAACUCGCUGUGAAGAUGCAGUGUACCCGCGGCAAGACGGAAAGACCCCGUGAACCUUUACUAUAGCUUGACACUGAACAUUGAGCCUUGAUGUGUAGGAUAGGUGGGAGGCUUUGAAGUGUGGACGCCAGUCUGCAUGGAGCCGACCUUGAAAUACCACCCUUUAAUGUUUGAUGUUCUAACGUGGACCCGUGAUCCGGGUUGCGGACAGUGUCUGGUGGGUAGUUUGACUGGGGCGGUCUCCUCCUAAAGAGUAACGGAGGAGCACGAAGGUUGGCUAAUCCUGGUCGGACAUCAGGAGGUUAGUGCAAUGGCAUAAGCCAGCUUGACUGCGAGCGUGACGGCGCGAGCAGGUGCGAAAGCAGGUCAUAGUGAUCCGGUGGUUCUGAAUGGAAGGGCCAUCGCUCAACGGAUAAAAGGUACUCCGGGGAUAACAGGCUGAUACCGCCCAAGAGUUCAUAUCGACGGCGGUGUUUGGCACCUCGAUGUCGGCUCAUCACAUCCUGGGGCUGAAGUAGGUCCCAAGGGUAUGGCUGUUCGCCAUUUAAAGUGGUACGCGAGCUGGGUUUAGAACGUCGUGAGACAGUUCGGUCCCUAUCUGCCGUGGGCGCUGGAGAACUGAGGGGGGCUGCUCCUAGUACGAGAGGACCGGAGUGGACGCAUCACUGGUGUUCGGGUUGUCAUGCCAAUGGCACUGCCCGGUAGCUAAAUGCGGAAGAGAUAAGUGCUGAAAGCAUCUAAGCACGAAACUUGCCCCGAGAUGAGUUCUCCCUGAGACUUAGAGUCUCCUGAAGGAACGUUGAAGACGACGACGUUGAUAGGCCGGGUGUGUAAGCGCAGCGAUGCGUUGAGCUAACCGGUACUAAUGAACCGUGAGGCUUAACCUUACAACGCCGAAG
rnacentral:rRNA from 1 species